rnacentral:tRNA from 1 species
GGUGAGAUGGCUCAUUGGUUAAGAGUGUGGACUGCUCUUCCAAAGGUCCUGAGUUCAAAUCCCAGCAACCA